AAGAAUGACACAUCUUUUUAUUUAAAUAUUAUUGCUUUUUAGGCACUGAAAUUUGGAGAUAUGCCGAAGUACUUGUGGGAGAUUUGGGUACCUGACAAACCAUGGGUGCCGCAGGACGAAUUCUACGACCAGGCCUCACCGGACAAGAGGACUGAAGCUGACGGCAACUCCGACCCCAACUCCGGUGAGUCGCUGCCAGUUCUCUGCUCGUUUUCAUUCCUUCUGUAACUCAYUAACGGAUUCCUUCAUUCCUUUGCAACUGUAGAGAUGUCUGCAAGCACGUACAUGAAUAUUCAGUCAUCUUAGUUCAUCACGCUUGGUAGCUUAGAUAGCACGGUUUGCCUGAAAUACCUCAUGUUAUAAUUUUGACUGUACAAACAAAAACAUGUUUGAUGAGAAAAAAACAGCUACAAACAGAAUGCACAGUGAGUGAGAAAGGCUGGGAGGAAGGAAAUUGUACCAGGUAACAAGCUUUUCUUGGUAGCUGUUUGCAGUGUGGUUUGUAUUUAGCUUUGCACUUCAUUUUAGGAAAGUCCUUCUGAAUGCACAUUUAAAGAACAAGGACACGUAGGCUGCACGAGCUGUUAGGCUAACCUAGGAAGCAGUAAAUCAGCAAAGUGCUGAAAAAUGCAACAAACUCAGAUUUCUGUAACAUACACAUAAUUCACCCCUCUAAUGGCAAGGUACACAGAGCUUCUUUGUUAGCUUGGAGUGGCAGGGUGUUUUGCUUUUUGGAAUUAUUGGAUAUGCAUUUUUAUAAAAAUAUUAAGCAUGUGCAGUUUGCCACGUUUGGAAACCUCUUCCUUUCUUCCCUUUUCCUUCUCAAGAAUAGAUUUACAAUAUGGUGGUGUUUAUGACAGUCACUACUAAAAGAUGAAGUGAGGUCUUUACCAGUACUAUAACUAGUAUUUUGGCAUCGGACCAUGGAGACUUGAACGUACUGAAAACUGGAAGAGGGCAAUAAAAUUGCCAGUAACCCUCUUGUUAAGAUUUCC
rnacentral:lncRNA from 1 species